UACACGACCGUACCGCAAACCGACACUGGUGCGCGAGAUGAGUAUUCUAAGGCGCUUGAGAGAACUCAGGAGAAGGAACUCGGCAAAUUGACACCGUAACUUCGGAAGAAGGUGUGCCUUUAGUAGGUGAACCAUUUACUUGGGGAGCCCAAUGAGGCUGCAAAAAAUCGGUGGCUGCAACUGUUUAUUAAAAACACAGCACUCUGCUAAGACGAAAGUCGACGUAUAGGGUGUGACGCCUGCCCGGUGCUGGAAGAUUAAAUGAUGGGGUGCAAGCUCUUGAUUGAAGUCCCAGUAAACGGCGGCCGUAACAAUAACGGUCCUAAGGUAGCGAAAUUCCUUGUCGGGUAAGUUCCGACCUGCACGAAUGGCGUAAUGAUGGCCACACUGUCUCCUCCUGAGACUCAGCGAAGUUGAAAUGUUUGUGAUGAUGCAAUCUCCCCGCGGAAAGACGGAAAGACCCCAUGAACCUUUACUGUAGCUUUGUAUUGGACUUUGAACAGAUCUGUGUAGGAUAGGUGGGAGGCUUUGAAGUGUGGUCGCUAGAUCGCAUGGAGCCAACGUUGAAAUACCACCCUGGUGUGUUUGAGGUUCUAACCUAGGUCCAUUAUCUGGAUCGGGGACAGUGCAUGGUAGGCAGUUUGACUGGGGCGGUCUCCUCCCAAAGUGUAACGGAGGAGUUCGAAGGUACGCUAUGUACGGUCGGACAUCGUGCUAAUAGUGCAAUGGCAUAAGCGUGCUUAACUGCGAGACUGACAAGUCGAGCAGAUGCGAAAGCAGGACAUAGUGAUCCGGUGGUUCUGUAUGGAAGGGCCAUCGCUCAACGGAUAAAAGGUACUCUGGGGAUAACAGGCUGAUACCGCCCAAGAGUUCAUAUCGACGGCGGUGUUUGGCACCUCGAUGUCGGCUCAUCUCAUCCUGGGGCUGUAGCCGGUCCCAAGGGUAUGGCUGUUCGCCAUUUAAAGAGGUACGUGAGCUGGGUUUAAAACGUCGUGAGACAGUUUGGUCCCUAUCUUCCGUGGGCGCUGCAGAUUUGAGGAAGCCUGCUCCUAGUACGAGAGGACCGGAGUGGACGAACCUCUGGUGUAUCGGUUGUCACGCCAGUGGCAUUGCCGAGUAGCUAAGUUCGGAAGAGAUAACCGCUGAAAGCAUCUAAGCGGGAAACUUUUCAAGAUUAGAUCUGCCGGGGCCUUGAGCCCCCUAAAGAGUCGUUCAAGACCAGGACGUUGAUAGUCAGGUGUGGAAGCG
rnacentral:rRNA from 1 species